ACCAAAAUAGACCGUGCACGCGUCAUCCAGCCUGCCGGCGGCGGCACCGUUCGUCGCUCGGCCAAGUCCUCGACAACCUCCUCUCCUCGGAGUGGGGGCUCGGGGUAAAAGAACCCACGACGCCUAAGGCGUCAAGGAACACUGUGCCUAGCCCGGGGACGCGGACGGCUUGCUGGCCGCCCCCCGUGCUGCAAUGCUAUUUAAUCCACACGACUCUCGGCAACGGAUAUCUCGGCUCUCGCAUCGAUGAAGAACGUAGCGAAAUGCGAUACCUGGUGUGAAUUGCAGAAUCCCGCGAACCAUCGAGUCUUUGAACGCAAGUUGCGCCCGAGGCCAUUCGGCUGAGGGCACGCCUGCCUGGGCGUCACGCAAAACACGCUCCCACACCCUCAUCGGGUAGCGGGACGCGGCAUGUGGUCCCCCGUAGCGCAAGCUGCGGUGGGCCGAAGAUAUGGCUGCCGGCGUAUCGUGCCGGACACAGCGCGUGGUGGGCGACCUCGCUUUACUUACCGCAGUGCAUCCGGGGCGUAGCCGACGUGAUGGCCUCUAAGGACCCUUUGAACGGUGCGCACGACGCUCCGACCGCGACCCCAGGUCAGGCGGGACUACCCGCUGAAUUUAAGCAUU
rnacentral:rRNA from 1 species